UAUGACCAACCACCCUGAACAUGCCUGAACUUUUCCGAUCUUGGAAGCUAAGCAGGGUUGGGCCUGGUUAGUACUUGGAUGGGGGACCUAAAAGGCCUGGAUUCUGGACUUGGUCCUUC
rnacentral:rRNA from 1 species